AUAACACGUCCUCCGUGUCCUAGAUUUUUCUUCCUCCUUUAAAGACACUGCCAUACCUAAAUAGGAAAGCCAUCACCUAUAUAUUAAACUUUCCUCCAUACAGGGAAGUUAAUGGUCCCUGCAGACACAGACCACGGGGGUACAUUGGGGCAUCUUGAAACUCCGGCGAACCUUUUAAAAUAAUCCAGCUGAGCCAUUAAAUAACAAGAUUAGCUGCAGUGGCAUGAAAUCUUUGAAAGAAAAGAGAGAAGGAUAAGAAGCAGGGAGAUUGAAAACGAAAAAUGUGCUCACAUUGCAUUGCAGUAUUUAAGAACAUUAAAGCUGCUCAAAGUGAAACUACUAGUGAAUCUUCAUCUGCUACUGUUGGGGGGCAUCUCAAUAAAUCCGAAUUUCAUCUAUCACUAGUCACACGUUCACUCGUAUCCUGAGGUUGGAAAUUCAAUAAAAGUCAUAGGAACCAUCAUGAAGCAAACACUGCGAAUCAGGCAUAGAUGGGAACGAGAAGGUAACCUGACAAUAUGAUUUGAUGAUUAUAUACUUCAAUUUGUGCUAUUAAUUGAAUGCUCAGCCAAUUACUGUUUAUAAUAUCACUAUGAUUGAAUGAGCAGGCAACAAUGAAUUACAAUAUGGAAAUCAACCAGUUCUCUGAGAAACAGAAAUGAUAGCUAACAUGUGAAUCAACUGAGCUCUUUCGAGCUUCCCACCCAUCAGUGAAUAUGCAGCUUAAAAAUAAAAAUUGAUGUUCUAAGCUUUGAGCUCGCAAAGUCCACAAUCUAUGUUUUGUUUCUUUCUAACAUUACAUAUUGUACACCUGUUACAAAAGUACUUGCUGUAGUUUAUGUUUAGUCAUCUAGAAAUUCAAAUUAACUUCUUGCUAUGUAUAACUUGUCUCCUGUCAUGCCAACAUUCACCAUCAAAAUAUCAUGUUGGCUACAAGUUUAAAAACCAGCUCAAGUAGCAUGUCCAUUGCAUACAAACGAAAGAAAUAAUUGAAUAGCAAAUAAUUGUUUGAGAUAUCUGCCCGUGAAUUUACUUCUUUUUUGUUUUAGUUCCUCAACAGGGAAGGGAUAAAAGGCUAAAUUUACA